rnacentral:rRNA from 1 species
AUUGAACGCUGGCGGCAUGCUUUACACAUGCAAGUCGAACGGUAACAGGUUAAGCUGACGAGUGGCGAACGGGUGAGUAAUGCAUCGGAACGUGCCCGAUCGUGGGGGAUAACGCAGCGAAAGCUGCGCUAAUACCGCAUACGAUCUGAGGAUGAAAGCGGGGGACCGUAAGGCCUCGCGCGAUCGGAGCGGCCGAAGUCAGAUUAGGUAGUUGGUGGGGUAAAGGCUCACCAAGCCAACGAUCUGUAGCUGGUCUGAGAGGACGACCAGCCACACUGGGACUGAGACACGGCCCAGACUCCUACGGGAGGCAGCAGUGGGGAAUUUUGGACAAUGGGCGAAAGCCUGAUCCAGCAAUGCCGCGUGCAGGAAGAAGGCCUUCGGGUUGUAAACUGCUUUUGUACGGAGCGAAAAGGCUCUCUCUAAUACAGGGGGCUCAUGACGGUACCGUAAGAAUAAGCACCGGCUAACUACGUGCCAGCAGCCGCGGUAA